rnacentral:rRNA from 1 species
UACAGAGGGGGCAAGCGUUGUUCGGAAUUACUGGGCGUAAAGCGUGCGUAGUCGGCCAUUUAAGUCGGGUGUGAAAUCCCCGGGCUCAACCUGGGAAUUGCAUUCGAUACUGGAUGGCUAGAGUUCGGCAGAGGGAAGCGGAAUUUCCGGUGUAGCGGUGAAAUGCGUAGAUAUCGGAAGGAACAUCAGUGGCGAAAGCGGCUUCCUGGACCAGAACUGACGAUCAGGCACGAAAGCGUGGGGAGCAAACAGG